ACUUUAAGUUUUAGGAUACAUGUGCACAACGUGCAGGUUUGUUACAUAUGUAUACAUGUGCCAUGUUGGUGUGCUGCACCCAUUAACUCGUCAUUUAGCAUUAGGUAUAUCUCCUAAUGCUAUCCCUCCCCCCACCCCACAGCAGUCCCCAGUGUGUGAUGUUCCCCUUCCUGUGUCCAACUGUUCGCACUGUUCAAUUCCCACCUAUGAGUGAGAACAUGCGGUGUUUGGUUUUUUGUCCUUGCAAUAGUUUGCUGAGAAUGAUGGUUUCCAGCUUCAUCCAUGUCCCUACAAAGGACAUGAACUCAUCAUUUUUUAUGGCUGCAUAGUAUCCCAUGGUGUAUAUGUGCCACAUUUUCUUAAUCCAGUCUAUCAUUGUUG
rnacentral:lncRNA from 10 species